rnacentral:rRNA from 1 species
GUCGGUGACGAUGACGGUGAGGUUCCACCUGUUCCCAUUCCGAACACAGAAGUUAAGCUCA